CUCCUGGGAAGUCGUCGUGUUGCACCCC
rnacentral:rRNA from 1 species